rnacentral:rRNA from 1 species
CGAACGGGUGAGUAACGCGUGAGGAACCUGCCUCAAAGAGGGGGACAAUAGUUGGAAACGACUGCUAAUACCGCAUAAGCCCACGGCUCGGCAUCGAGCAGAGGGAAAAGGAGCAAUCCGCUUUGAGAUGGCCUCGCGUCCGAUUAGCUAGUUGGUGAGGUAACGGCCCACCAAGGCGACGAUCGGUAGCCGGACUGGGAGGUUGAACGGCCACAUUGGGACUGAGACACGGCCCAG